UUCCGGUUGAUCCUGCCGGAGGACAUUGCUAUUGGGAUUCGAUUUAGCCAUGCUAGUCGAGCGAGUUCAGACUCGCGGCGAAUAGCUCAGUAACACGUGGCCAAGCUCCCCUUCAGUCAGCGAUACCCUCGGGAAACUGAGGUUAACAGCUGAUACAAAACGCCAGCUGGAAUGCGGCGUUUCAGAAAGACAUCGCUGAAGGAUGCGGCUGCGGCCGAUUAGGUAGACGGUGGGGUAACGGCCCACCGUGCCAGUAAUCGGUACGGGUGAUGAGAGUCAGAGCCCGGAGACGGAAUCUGAGACAAGAUUCCGGGCCCUACGGGGCGCAGCAGGCGCGAAACCUUUACACUGCACGGAAGUGCGAUAGGGGAAUCCCAAGUGCGAGGGCAUAUUAGCCCUCGCUUUUCUCGACUGUAAGGUGGUCGACGAAUAAGAGCUGGGCAAGACCGGUGCCAGCCGCCGCGGUAAUACCGGCAGCUCAAGUGAUGUCCCAUAUUAUUGGGCCUAAAGCGUCCGUAGCUGGCCGACCAAGUCUACCGGGAAAUCCACCCGCCCAACGGGUGGGCGUCCGGUAGAAACUGGCCGGCUUGGAACCGGAAGGC
rnacentral:rRNA from 1 species